AAUCUUGGGCCAGGGAUUUAGCUCAGUGCUUCUGCCACCUGCCUUUAAAGCGCAAGGUCCUGAGUUCAAUCCCCGGUACAAAAAAUAUAUAUAUAUAUGGAACCUACUGGGAGGAAUUCAUGUCACUGGAUGUCCCCGGGGGAUGUAAAGGUCCCAGCUCAGUUCUCUCUUCACUUCCUGGCUGCUGUGAGGUGAGCAGCCUCCUCUACCACCAUGCCCAACAUGAUGAGUGCCCUGGCUAUGGCCCUCUAAGCACUGACCUCUGAAAUGAGGAUCCAAAACACAUUUUUUCUCCUUUAUAAGUCACUUGUCUCAGGCACUUUGUCACAGUAAUGGGAAGUUGACCAACAUAGAAAAUAGGUACUGAGAAGUAGGAUUCUUGCCGUGACUAUACUCAACAAUGUGGUUCAACAGCCUUUGGAACUGGAUUAUGGGAAGUGUUUGGGAAAGGUUGAGGAGUGGGCUAGACUAAGCCUGGAGUGCUGUGAGUGGAGCUCAGUGGGUGAUUCUGGAAGGUGCUCAGAAGACCAGAAUGCAGAUAUGAAUGCAGACAGUAAAGUCUAUGCUGAUGAGGUUUCAGGUGGGAAUGGGGACUUUGCCAGUAACUGGAGUAGAGGCCUUCAUGUUACAUGGCAAAGAGCUUGUCUACAUUUGGACGAUGCCUUCAGACUUGGUGGAGGCUAAGUUUAAACAUUAUAGACUAACUAAUCUGGUGGAGCAAAAUUCUAGGUGGUAUUCAGGCAUUGGCAUGGGUAUUGCUGGCUGCUUUUAGCCACAUUUAUGUGAAUGGAAAUUUAGCAGAGCAGAAAGAUUUCAAAAAACUUCAGUUUGGUCAGAAAAGGAGGGCACUUAAAGUUGGGCCAGAGUGUGUGGAGACUAGUGCCAUUAAAAAAAGAACCAAACACUUUGCACCAAGACAAAGGAAAGAUGCCUUGAGGGCAUCUCAGGAAUCAACAAGACCUCAUCUAUCAACACAUAGAGCAGCUUGAGAAUUGUUGGCCCAGGAUUUCAUUUCCCUGUGUUCAGCUGUCCGGUCUCUUUGAGACCACAGCUGCCAUGGUACAAGGGGGCCCAGUGACUGCCUCUGCUGGCAGCAGAUCUUGUGUCAUGUGCAUGGUGCAGGUUUUACAAGCCUGCUGAAUGCAAGAGUUGUGGGGUCACACAGGCAUCCAACGAGCUUUCAGGGGAAGGCCUGGGAGGCCUGGCAGUGUGGGAGUGUCAGAGUCCCAGGAAAUGACCCCUGAGAGACCAAUACGUAAGGCUGUGAGAGUGAAGCUGGAGCUGCAGUGGAGACCCCAGGAAGAUAAAGAUGCCGUAAUCCAAGAGUGUGCAAAGCCAGCCCGAGAGUGUGCCAUGGGGGCUGCAGCCAUUGAGGAUGUAGGGGUGGAGCUGCCUAAAACCUAGGGGAACACAUGAGGGCCAUGUGCACCAAAUGUUGAACACAGCUGCAGGAUUUAGUGUUUGCCCUGCUGGGCUUUGGUCUUCCUUUGGUCUGGCUCUGCCUUGCUGUUUUGCUUGUCCUCUCUUCUAGAAUGGGGAUGUUCCCACUCUAUCGUCACAUGCUAGAAGUAUGGAACUUUCUGACUUUUACAGGGGCUUCCAGCAGAAUGUGCUUUUCACCUCUGAGAAGACUCUGGCUUUGGACUCUUGAGCAAUGCUGGAACUGGACUGAAUGCAUUUGACAUUGGUGGCUUCCUCUGUUCUUGCUCCACACCAUGGUGAGCUGCUUUGCCACAGUUCCAAUGCAGAUGGCUGACCAGGUGUGACCAGAUGCUGAAGCCACAAACCCAUAAGCCAGACCAAACUUCCUCUUGGCAAGCUAUUAUCUCAGGUAUUUUGUCACACUGACAGGAAGCUGACUAGUACUACUGCAGAAAGCAGGAAGCUCAACCAGAAGAAGAAGCAGAGAUAUGCGAAGGUCUUGUCAAAAAGAAACAAAUAAAUAUAUUGAUAGAGUGGAACAGACAUUGGCUGCUGAUAAUAGUGACUGGUGAUCAACACCACUCAUUAUCAGGAAAACACAAAUCAAAACCCAAGGAGAUGCAGCCACACACUUGUUAGGAUGGUGAAGAUGCAGAGAGACUGUGACCCUAGUGCUGUGCCCAUGUGAAUGGAAGAUGGGGCAGCCAGUGUGGAAAACAGCAUGGAGGGUCCUCAAAGAAACAGAAAUGGAUCUGGUUCUCCCACUGUCCCUGCCAUGGGUCCCAGCAGCCCUGGCAGUGGGAGGAGCGGCAGUAGCCGAGCAGCAUAGCUCUUCCAGGCUCUGGUGCUUUGCAGCCUGCAGCUUCUGCACAAACCACCCCCUACCCCCACCCCGCCAAUGCCAAGAUGCCCAAGAGGAAGGUCAGCUUGGCGAGGUUGUUGGCUAAACCUGCUCCUGCAAAAGCGGAAAGGAAGCCAAAAAAGCGGGAAAGGAUCAAUCUUUGGACAAAAAAGUAUAAGCAAAAGGGAAAAGGAGAGCAAAAGGAAAACAGGACAAGUGCCUAAACAGAAACUACAGAAGAAACUCGGAAAACGGUAAGACUAAAACACGAGGAGAAUGCAGCCUCUGAUGAAGCAAAAGAGAAAGAAGCCAAGUCUGAUUAAUCAUACGGCAUGUCUUAUCAGUGCUCCCUGUCUCCCUUCUUGUACAAUCCAGAGGCAUACUUUUAUCAACUAUUUUGUAAAUGCAAAUUUUUCAGUAGCUCUAGAAACAUUUUUUAAAAGGAGGGAAUCCCACCUCAUGACAUUUUUAAAAGUGUAAAUGAUUUUUUUAGAGGUGAAAUCAUUUACUGGUUGUUUAUUUUUGGUACAACCAGAAAAUAGUGGGAUAUUGAACUAUGGCAGGCUUUGACUGUCUCAGGUGUCAGUUUAACAUUCCAUAGGUGGG
rnacentral:lncRNA from 1 species